CGCAGCGGCCCUGUACCGGCCCGCACCGGAUCAGUGCUCGACGAUCAGCGUCGGCGGCAGCGUUCCGGCUCAUUCGCUGUAGGAGAGACUUCGAGAAAGGACAUCGGGAUAGCAGGACCGCCGCCACCACACCGCAACGAUGGGCAAGGGAGGACCAAAGAAGGGAGCCGCCGCGGCACCCGCCGCUCCGGCUACCAAGAGCGAAGCGAAGAAGGGUGAGAAGGCGCCCAAGGAGGCCAAAGGUGGAAAGAAAGGUGGCAAGAAGUGACGGCGGCGAGUCGUGAUGCCACGGCGUCCACAUCUGUUGGCUUCACUGGGCGACGCGCUCCUGGCUUCGCUGCCGAUCGUGGUCGAGACGCACCAUAAAGCGCCCGUGAGCUCGGUCCGAGCCGGUCGAAGACAGAGCUGUUCGCCCUAUUUCGUUGUGUUCAAGGCUGUGUGACAGUUUGCUGUUCCUCUAUCGUACCUGUCUGGCACAAGAGGCACUGCCGAGUGCCAGUUGGGCACGCGGGCGUCUAUCGUAGAACGAAGCAAACGCGAUGUACUGUGGUCACGCUCACAGUCGAACGGCCGUUGUGCGCUCGUCGCCGAGGCUACUGAGCUUGUGUGUAGUGCUUCUUACAGGCAAGAUGGCCUACCUUGAUUGUCCAGUGUUCAGUGUCACCAAAUAAAUGAGGAGUUGGUACUUGAA